rnacentral:rRNA from 1 species
GACGAACGCUGGCGGCGUGCCUAAUACAUGCAAGUAGAACGCACAGUUUAUACCGUAGCUUGCUACACCAUAGACUGUGAGUUGCGAACGGGUGAGUAACGCGUAGGUAACCUGCCUGGUAGCGGGGGAUAACUAUUGGAAACGAUAGCUAAUACCGCAUAAUAUUGAUUAUUGCAUGAUAAUUGAUUGAAAGAUGCUAUUGCAUCACUACCAGAUGGACCUGCGUUGUAUUAGCUAGUAGGUGAGGUAACGGCUCACCUAGGCGACGAUACAUAGCCGACCUGAGAGGGUGAUCGGCCACACUGGGACUGAGACACGGCCCAGACUCCUACGGGAGGCAGCAGUAGGGAAUCUUCGGCAAUGGACGAAAGUCUGACCGAGCAGCGCCGCGUGAGUGAAGAAGGUUUUCGGAUCGUAAAGCUCUGUUGUAAGAGAAGAACGGGUGUGAGAGUGGAAAGUUCACACUGUGACGGUAGCUUACCAGAAAGGGACGGCUAACUACGUG